UACACUUUAAAUCCUUUAACGAGGAUCAAUUGGAGGGCAAGUCUGGUGCCAGCAGCCGCGGUAAUUCCAGCUCCAAUAGCGUAUAUUAAAGUUGUUGCAGUUAAAAAGCUCGUAGUUGGAUCUCAGGAUUUGGAUGGAUGGUUCGCUUUCGGGCGCUACUAUCUGUCUGACCUACUCUAGUCGUGGAUGCCUUGGGUGCUCUUAAUUGAGUGCUUUUGGUGCCCGACGCAAUUACUUUGAAAAAAUUAGAGUGCUCAAAGCAGGCGUAUUGCCUGAAUAGUGUUGCAUGGAAUAAUGAAAUAGGAGUUUACUUCUAUUUUGUUGGUUUUCGGAGGUGAACUAAUGAUUAACAGGGACAGACGGGGGCAUUUGUAUGGAGGGGUUAGAGGUGAAAUUCUUGGAUCCUCUCCAGACAAACUACUGCGAAAGCAUUUGCCAGGAAUGUUUUCACUAAUCAAGAACGAAAGUCAGAGGUUCGAAGACGAUCAGAUACCGUCCUAGUUCUGACCAUAAAUGAUGCCAUCUAACAAUCCACGAAGUUUGCUUGUACGAACUCGUGGGCGGUCCCCGGGAAACCAAAGAUUUUGGGUUCCGGGGGAAGUAUGGUUGCAAAGCUGAAACUUAAAGGAAUUGACGGAAGGGCACCACCAGGAGUGGAGCCUGCGGCUUAAUUUGACCCAACACGGGAAACCUCACCCGGCCCGGACACUUUUAGGAUUGACAGAUUGAAGGCUCUUUCUUGAUCAAGUGGUUGGUGGUGCAUGGCCGUUCUUAGUUGGUGGAGCGAUUUGUCUGGUUAAUUCCGAUAACGAACGAGACUCUACUCUGCUAAAUAGAACGUUGAUAUAUAAAAGUCAGUGCUGACUUCUUAGAGAGACUAACGGCGUUUAGCCGUGUGAGAAAGAGCAAUAACAGGUCUGUGAUGCCCUUAGAUGUCCGGGGCCGCACGCGCGCUACACUGACUGCAGCAACUAGUAUGCUCCUGGUUUGAAAAAACUGGGUAACCUGGUUGAAUUGUAGGCGUGACAGGGAUCAGAGUUUGCAAUUAUCCUCUGUGAACGAGGAAUUCCCAGUAAGCGCAAGUCAUUAGCUUGUGCUGAUUACGUCCCUGCCCUUUGUACACACCGCCCGUCGCUACUACCGAUUGAAUGGUUUAGUGAGGUCUUCGGAUUGGUGCUGAUGGAGUGGUUCUCUGCUCUGUUAGUGCCGAGAAGAUGAUCAAACUUGAUCAUUUAGAGGAAGUAAAAGUCGUAACAAGGU
rnacentral:rRNA from 1 species